CCGAGGAGGAGCGCCGCGUGGUGGUGUAAGCACUCAGCCUGCUGAAGCGCGGGAGUGCAGAGAGGCGACCCCACGAGGUGGAGACAGGAGGGACAGGGUCCUCCUGGGGGGACAAAGCGAGCGGCGUCCUGGCGGGGUCGAGAGGGCAGGAGACGCAGCGGAUAUUGGCAGGGUUCUGGAUAGCGGCGCGUGCUGGUGCGCGUGCCCGCGAGCGAGUACCUGCACCUGGCCGUGGACCACUUCGCACUCGUGCUGGUGGCGUGUGCGCGCGUGCUCGACAUGGUCGCCGAGAUCGCGCGCGUGCACGUGACCCGUGUGCGCUCCCCACGCUUGCACGUGAUGGAGGGGACCCACGUGGGUCGCGAUCUCAUCUCCGAGCUCUGCUUCACGAACCCCGUGGCACACGCCCUGCACCGCGUGCGCGUCCGCGUGGAGGGAGCCGGCGUGCACGCGCCGGGCAACAUACU